CUACCCUUAGGACGGGGACAACAGAAGGAAACUUCUGCUAAUCCCGGAUGAGCCGGAAGGUCAAAGAUUUAUCGCCUAGGGAUGAGCUCGCGUCUGAUUAGCUAGUUGGUAAGGUAAAGGCUUACCAAGGCAACGAUCAGUAGCUGGUCUGAGAGGAUGAUCAGCCACACUGGGACUGAGACACGGCCCAGACUCCUACGGGAGGCAGCAGUGGGGAAUUUUCCGCAAUGGGCGAAAGCCUGACGGAGCAAGACCGCGUGGGGGAGGAAAGCCUUUGGGUUGUAAACCCCUUUUCUCAGGGAAGAAGAAAGUGACGGUACCUGAGGAAUCAGCCUCGGCUAACUCCGUGCCAGCAGCCGCGGUAAUACGGAGGAGGCAAGCGUUAUCCGGAAUGAUUGGGCGUAAAGCGUCCGUAGGUGGCUGUUCAAGUCUGCUGUUAAAUCCAGUAGCUUAACUACUGACAAGCAGUGGAAACUGAAGAGCUCGAGUGCGGUAGGGGCAGAGGGAAUUCCUGGUGUAGCGGUGAAAUGCGUAGAGAUCAGGAAGAACACCGGUGGCGAAAGCGCUCUGUUGGGCCCGCAACUGACACUCAGGGACGAAAGCUAGGGGAGCGAAUGGGAUUAGAUCCCCAGUAGUC
rnacentral:rRNA from 1 species